ACAAUGGGCGCAAGCCUGAUUGCAGCCAUGCCGCGUGUAUGAAGAAGGCCUUCGGGUUGUAAAGUACUUUCAGCAGUGAGGAAGUGGGUAUGUUAAUAGCAUAUCAUUUGACGUUAGCUGCAGAAGAAGCACCGGCUAACUCCGUGCCAGCAGCCGCGGUAAUACGGAGGGUGCGAGCGUUAAUCGGAAUUACUGGGCGUAAAGCGCAUGCAGGUGGUUUGUUAAGUCAGAUGUGAAAGCCCGGGGCUCAACCUCGGAAUUGCAUUUGAAACUGGCAAACUAGAGUACUGUAGAGGGGGUAGAAUUUCAGGUGUAGCGGUGAAAUGCGUAGAGAUCUGAAGGAAUACCGGUGGCGAAGGCGGCCCCCUGGACAGAUACUGACACUCAGAUGCGAAAGCGUGGGGAGCAAACAGGAUUAGAUACCCUGGUAG
rnacentral:rRNA from 1 species